rnacentral:tRNA from 1 species
AUCUCAGAUGGUAAAGAAUCUGCUUGUAAUGCAGGAGACCCAGGUUUGAUCCCUGG